AAGUCGUAACAAGGUUUCCGUAGGUGAACCUGCGGAAGGAUCAUUAACCGUGUCUGUAUGUGGACAUGUGAUGUGGUGUGUGCGUGUGUGUUUGGCCCUUGUGGCCAUGUUUUUACAUUCUUUUACGAGUUGUCUAAUUCCUCAUUAACCAGUAAAACUGGCAGCAAUGGAUCCCUCGGUUCUC
rnacentral:misc_RNA from 1 species